ACCUUUAGCUCAGUUGGUCAGAGCAUCCGGCUCAUAACCGGGCGGUCGAAGGUUCGAGUCCUUCAAGGUCC
rnacentral:tRNA from 1 species